CAGAUGAACGCUGGCGGCGUGCUUAACACAUGCAAGUCGAACGGUGAACCAGGAGCUUGCUCUGGUGGAUCAGUGGCGAACGGGUGAGUAACACGUGAGCAACCUGCCCCUGACUCUGGGAUAAGCGCUGGAAACGGCGUCUAAUACUGGAUAUGUGACGUGACCGCAUGGUCUGCGUUUGGAAAGAUUUUUCGGUUGGGGAUGGGCUCGCGGCCUAUCAGCUUGUUGGUGAGGUAAUGGCUCACCAAGGCGUCGACGGGUAGCCGGCCUGAGAGGGUGACCGGCCACACUGGGACUGAGACACGGCCCAGACUCCUACGGGAGGCAGCAGUGGGGAAUAUUGCACAAUGGGCGAAAGCCUGAUGCAGCAACGCCGCGUGAGGGAUGACGGCCUUCGGGUUGUAAACCUCUUUUAGCAGGGAAGAAGCGAAAGUGACGGUACCUGCAGAAAAAGCGCCGGCUAACUACGUGCCAGCAGCCGCGGUAAUACGUAGGGCGCAAGCGUUAUCCGGAAUUAUUGGGCGUAAAGAGCUCGUAGGCGGUUUGUCGCGUCUGCUGUGAAAUCCCGAGGCUCAACCUCGGGCCUGCAGUGGGUACGGGCAGACUAGAGUGCGGUAGGGGAGAUUGGAAUUCCUGGUGUAGCGGUGGAAUGCGCAGAUAUCAGGAGGAACACCGAUGGCGAAGGCAGAUCUCUGGGCCGUAACUGACGCUGAGGAGCGAAAGGGUGGGGAGCAAACAGGCUUAGAUACCCUGGUAGUCCACCCCGUAAACGUUGGGAACUAGUUGUGGGGUCCAUUCCACGGAUUCCGUGACGCAGCUAACGCAUUAAGUUCCCCGCCUGGGGAGUACGGCCGCAAGGCUAAAACUCAAAGGAAUUGACGGGGACCCGCACAAGCGGCGGAGCAUGCGGAUUAAUUCGAUGCAACGCGAAGAACCUUACCAAGGCUUGACAUAUACGAGAACGGGCCAGAAAUGGUCAACUCUUUGGACACUCGUAAACAGGUGGUGCAUGGUUGUCGUCAGCUCGUGUCGUGAGAUGUUGGGUUAAGUCCCGCAACGAGCGCAACCCUCGUUCUAUGUUGCCAGCACGUAAUGGUGGGAACUCAUGGGAUACUGCCGGGGUCAACUCGGAGGAAGGUGGGGAUGACGUCAAAUCAUCAUGCCCCUUAUGUCUUGGGCUUCACGCAUGCUACAAUGGCCGGUACAAAGGGCUGCAAUACCGUGAGGUGGAGCGAAUCCCAAAAAGCCGGUCCCAGUUCGGAUUGAGGUCUGCAACUCGACCUCAUGAAGUCGGAGUCGCUAGUAAUCGCAGAUCAGCAACGCUGCGGUGAAUACGUUCCCGGGUCUUGUACACACCGCCCGUCAAGUCAUGAAAGUCGGUAACACCUGAAGCCGGUGGCCUAACCCUUGUGGAGGGAGCCGUCGAAGGUGGGAUCGGUAAUUAGGACUAAGUC
rnacentral:rRNA from 1 species